AGCACACAGACCCCUGUGCACCAGCAGCAAACCGUUCCCAGCCAUCAACCACACCAGCCGCAGCCUCGUACACCGCACAAGCUACCACCUUUCUCACCCACUACACCGGUUGCUCCUCGUCGUCGAUACUGAAGAGCCACCGAUUCUCAGAAUGGUAAAACCUGGCAGCUCAAUGGGAAUGCCAAGCAAAAUAAAGUUAGAAGAACCCGAAUCUUCGUCUUCUUCCGAAGAUGUGGAGGAAAUGGAGCAGGCGCUUGCAGAUGUGACAUUUGGGGAACUGCAGAAGGCGCGCUCGAACGGGUCACAUGUAGUGCACCUUAAGCCUAAAGAAGAGAAGAAGGGUGGUCGGGCGAACAAGAACCGGUAGUCUGAGCAUACA